UGGGGGAUAACGCAUCGAAAGGUGUGCUAAUACCGCAUAAUCUCUACGGAGAAAAGCAGGGGAUCGCAAGACCUUGCGCUCUUGGAGCGGCCGAUGUCUGAUUAGCUAGUUGGUGAGGUAAAGGCUUACCAAGGCGACGAUCAGUAGCUGGUCUGAGAGGACGACCAGCCACACUGGGAUUGAGACACGGCCCAGACUCCUACGGGAGGCAGCAGUGGGGAAUUUUGGACAAUGGGGGAAACCCUGAUCCAGCCAUGCCGCGUGAGUGAAGAAGGCCUUCGGGUUGUAAGGCUCUUUCAGCCGGAACGAAACGGUCACGGCUAAUACCUGUGACUACUGACGGUACCGGAAGAAGAAGCACCGGCUAACUACGUGCCAGCAGCCGCGGUAAUACGUAGGGUGCAAGCGUUAAUCGGAAUUACUGGGCGUAAAGCGUGCGCAGGCGGUUUUGUAAGUCAGAUGUGAAAUCCCCGGGCUUAACCUGGGAACUGCGUUUGAAACUACAAGGCUAGAGUGUAGCAGAGGGGGGUGGAAUUCCACGUGUAGCAGUGAAAUGCGUAGAGAUGUGGAGGAACACCGAUGGCGAAGGCAGCCCCCUGGGUUAACACUGACGCUCAGGCACGAAAGCGUGGGGAGCAAACAGGAUUAGAUACCCUGGUAGUCCACGCCCUAAACGAUGUCAACUAGUUGUCGGGUCUUAACGGACUUGGUAACGCAGCUAACGCGUGAAGUUGACCGCCUGGGGAGUACGGUCGCAAGAUUAAAACUCAAAGGAAUUGACGGGGACCCGCACAAGCGGUGGAUUAUGUGGAUUAAUUCGAUGCAACGCGAAAAACCUUACCUACCCUUGACAUGUACCGAAGCCCGCUGAGAGGUGGGUGUGCCCGAAAGGGAGCGGUAACACAGGUGCUGCAUGGCUGUCGUCAGCUCGUGUCGUGAGAUGUUGGGUUAAGUCCCGCAACGAGCGCAACCCUUGUCAUUAAUUGCCAUCAUUCAGUUGGGCACUUUAAUGAGACUGCCGGUGACAAACCGGAGGAAGGUGGGGAUGACGUCAAGUCCUCAUGGCCCUUAUGGGUAGGGCUUCACACGUAAUACAAUGGCGCGUACAGAGGGUUGCCAACCCGCGAGGGGGAGCUAAUCUCAGAAAGCGCGUCGUAGUCCGGAUCGGAGUCU
rnacentral:rRNA from 1 species